CAGCGGAGAAGAGCUGCAGGACGAGGGUCCGACCUCAAUUUAGCCUCUUUCCCUGUAUGCACUUCCCGGGGGAUCAAUUUAACACCCCACAGAACACAGUUGACCUCCUUGCAUUGCUGCUGCUGCCGUGGCCAGAAAAGUAAUGUGAUUUGAAAUAGGGUAUUAUUUGGGAUAGGGUAUUAUUUGAAUGAACUUUCCACCUUAAUUAGCAGUGUGACAAUUGUCUCAUCACAAUUGGCUUUUUACAAAAGGCCACCAAAUCAGCAGAUAUUUUGAGGGCCCCCGAGUACGGUAAUCUUGCUUAGUGAUUAACAUGUGUAUCACGUGAUUAAGUUGUAUUUGUCAGUUGGAGGAAGUAAUUAGUCAGUUUAGAUAAUUUAUGCUGAACUAUGUCCAACUGAGAUUGAAAUGGGAAGAAAAAAAAUAUCUCAUCA